rnacentral:rRNA from 1 species
AUGAACGCUGGCGGCGUGCCUAAUACAUGCAAGUCGAGCGAACGGACGAGAAUCUUGCUUCUCUGAUGUUAGCGGCGGACGGGUGAGUAACACGUGGAUAACCUACCUAUAAGACUGGGAUAACUUCGGGAAACCGUAGCUAAUACCGGAUAAUAUUUUGAACCGCAUGGUUCAAAAGUGAAAGACGGUCUUGCUGUCACUUAUAGAUGGAUCCGCGCUGCAUUAGCUAGUUGGUAAGGUAACGGCUUACCAAGGCAACGAUGCAUAGCCGACCUGAGAGGGUGAUCGGCCACACUGGAACUGAGACACGGUCCAGACUCCUACGGGAGGCAGCAGUAGGGAAUCUUCCGCAAAGGGCGAAAGCCUGACGGAGCAACGCCGCGUGAGUGAUGAAGGUCUUCGGAUCGUAAAACUCUGUUAUUAGGGAAGAACAUAUGUGUAAGUAACUGUGCACAUCUUGACGGUACCUAAUCAGAAAGCCACGGCUAACUACGUG